AUGUCGAUGGCGGCGGCGGCGAGGGCGGCGACGAGGGCCCCGGGCAGGGCGGCGGCGCGGUUCGUGCAGACCAGGCUCCGCUCCUCCGGCAAGGUGCUCAGCGAGGAGGAGAGGGCCGCCGAGAACGUCUACAUCAAGAAAAUGGAACAAGAGAAGCGGGAGAAGCUCGCACGCAAGGGUCCCAGCGCAGGAGAGCAAGCUCCGUCCACCCCAAGCGCCGCAGCAGCCGAUGUGAGUUCGACCGCGUCGGCAUCCGCAGCAGGCACGUCGACCGACAAGAACAGGAACUACGCCGUGCUGGCUGGCACCCUCGCCGGCCUGAGCGCCCUGGGCUGGUACCUCCUGUCCAAGCCCAAGAAGACGGAGGAGGUCGUCGACUGA
rnacentral:rRNA from 1 species